AAAUUGCAAGGAGACGCCGCCGCGUUCAUGCUGCCGGCGGACUGCUCGCGCCGGCUGGUGGCCGAGCUGCAGGGCGCCCUGGACGCCUGCGCACAGCGACAAUUGCAAUUGGAGCAGAGCCUGCGCGUUUGCCGUCGGCUGCUGCAGGCCUGGUACGCGGACCCGGGGACCCACUGGCCAGACCUCCCUCGGGCCCUCAGAGUCCUGCCCCGAGCUCUCAGGGCUGGGAGACCGGGUGCAGCCGCCCACUUCGGAGCUGUAGGUUGUUAGUGCCACCCUCCUUACCCUGCAAGCUCUGAGCUGGGGGCCUGCCGCGGGGCCCGGCGGCCCCCUCGGGUCUGUUUGGGCUGGGCCCUGCCUCCUGGCCGUGCGACGGCUGCCCGUGUCUUUGCAGGGAACCAACUGGGACCUGGGCUUUGAAGCCACCUCCAGGGCCAGAAACUAAUGAAGAAGACCCCCUUCCAGCGUGCACACCCAGUCCACAAGACUUAAAAGAGUUGGAGUUUCUGACCCAGGCACUGGAGAAGGCUGUACGGGUUCGAAGAGGUAUCACUAAGGCUGGAGAAAGAGACAAGGCCCCCAGCCUGAAAUCGAGGUCCAUUGUCACCUCUCCUGGCACGACAGCCUCCGCCCCACCCCAGUCCCGAGGCCAAGCUGGCCAAGCUGCUGGCCAUGCUUCAGACACGAGACCCACCAAGGGCCUCCGCCAAACCGCGGUGCCUGCCAAGGGCCACGCUGAGCGCCGGCUGCUGUCAGUGGGGGAUAGGACCCGUGUCGGGAUGGGAGCCCGAGCCCCCAGGCCUGGGGCGGGCCUCAGGGACCAGCAAAUGGCCCCAUCGGCUGCUCCUCAGGCCCCAGAAGCCUUCACACUCAAGGAGAAGGGGCACCUGCUGCGGCUGCCUGCGGCAUUCAGGAAAGCAGCUUCCCAGAACUCGAGCCUGUGGGCCCAGCUCGGUUCCACACAGACCAGUGAUUCCAUGGAUGCCACUGCUGCCAAAACCCAGUUCCUCCAGAACAUGCAGACAGCUUCAGGCGUACCCCAGCCCAGGCUCAGUGCUGCGGAGGUGGAGGCGGAGGCGGGGCGCCUGCGGAAGGCCUGCUCGCUGCUGAGACUGCGCAUGAGGGAGGAGCUCUCGGCAGCCCCCAUGGACUGGAUGCAGGAGUACCGCUGCCUGCUCACGCUGGAGGGGCUUCAGGCCAUGGUGGGCCAGUGUCUGCACAGGCUGCAGGAACUGCGUGCAGCGGUGGUGGUACAGCCACCAAGACCGUGUCCUGUGGAGGGACCCCCCAGAGCCUCGCCGUCCUGUGGGGGUGGAGCGGAGCCUGCAUGGAGCCCCCAGCUGCUUGUCUACUCCAGCACCCAGGAGCUGCAGACCCUGGCGGCCCUCCAGCUGCGAGUGGCUAUGCUGGACCAGCAGAUUCACUUGGAAAAGGUGCUUCUGGAAGAGGAGGUGGGGGUGCAACAGAGGUCCGCAGCCUUGAGGACCCGUGGGUAGGGGCUUGACUGCUCCACCCCCCAGGACCCAGGAGGAUGGGGGCAAGCCUGGGGUCUGUGUGUGUGGGUUGGGAAGUGCACAGGUCAGGCUGGGCUGGGACGGCAGGACGGAGCCUGGAGCCUCAGGAGGGAGGGCUGAAGCAUGGGGACCUCGAAGCCUGUCCCAGGAUUGCCCCCUGCCUAGGUGCCCCUGAGACCUUGGCCCUGCCCUGCCCCCAGGUCCUGAUGGCUGAACUCCUCCCCCUGGUAAGCACUGCACAGCCGCAGGGGCCGCCUUGGCUGGCCCUGUGCCGGGCUGCGCACAGCCUGCUCUGCGAGGGGGGAGCACGUGUCCUCACCAUCCUGCGGGACGAACCUGCGGUGUGAGCUUUUCCCAUGCUGCCCUCAGCCCUGUUCAGAUGGGGAUUGGGGGUGUCUUCCCUGGCACUGUGCUCGGGGACCCAGAGAUGCCUGUGCUUUCCUGGGAAACCUGGUGAACUGGACCAGGUGGCCUCACUGGCUCUUCUCAGGACAACUAAGCCUGCUGGUCAGGGCUGGCUUUCAGCCUUCCCAAGGCUCCUGGACUCCAGAGGCCAGCGGGGAGCCUUUCCUGGCUCCCUCUGUUUUCUCUCACUGUAAACCAAAGAGCUGCUUGUGUGAUAUUAAAGCCACUUUAGAAAGC
rnacentral:sRNA from 1 species